rnacentral:rRNA from 1 species
AGCGUUGCUCGGAAUUACUGGGCGCAAAGGGAGCGUAGGCGGACAUUUAAGUCAGGGGUGAAAUCCCAGAGCUCAACUCUGGAACUGCCUUUGAUACUGGGUGUCUUGAGUGUGAGAGAGGUAUGUGGAACUCCGAGUGUAG